CUCAAACAUUUUAUUCUAUGCAACAAUUGACCAAACUCAUCAUAUUUACCGUUCCUUACAUGAAGUCCUCGGAAGUAGAGAUCAGUCCAACAGAGAAGAAGUCACUUCCGAUGCAUUAAACAACAGAUCCAGAAUCUGCUCCUAAGAAAACUAAAUAGAAUGACCAACCAAUAAAUUGAUACAUGGUUAAAGGAGGACAGUUGACCCUAAUGAUGUCCCUGACCAUGGCAAAGUCCCAAGGAGGCAACUGGAACAGAAGAAAUUAAGCUCCUGGAACAAACCAGAUGCUUCAGAAAUUAGACCGAGAAAGUAAUC
rnacentral:lncRNA from 1 species